rnacentral:lncRNA from 1 species
CUCGGCACCUCUUAAACUCCAGUUUACUGUUUUAUAUUCACUGUUUUAUUGUCUGUUUUAUCUUUUAAUUACUGUAUAAUUGUAUUAUCUUUACUGUUUUUCACUUUUUACUAAUUAAUUGUAUUUUUGUUUUUCAGCUUACUGUAGCCGCUGUGGGAGCUGACCCCAUACCGGUCAGGUAUAGAUCCCCGGUGGAGGAGCAGACCUCUUCCAAUAAUGGUGAGUCAACUGGAAACCUCUUACAUUUUACACAAAAUUUACCAACAGUAACACUCAGAAAUAAACCCAGAGCUGGAUUAGGACUGGAGUUUAAAGCAGGGUUUUGUUUUUCAGGCGCAGUCAGGAGACAUUUCCUUCAGGACUCGUCCUGUGUCUCCGUGGCAGGGUGAAGAGCCAGCCGCCUGGGAGGAGCCCCAGCCAUGUCAGCCCGGUUCCCUCGAGAUGGAGCGAAGGGCCCGCAUUAAGAUGUGGAUAGAAGGUCAGAUGGAGGGACUCCUGCCCACCUCCCACCCAGAGUCUGCGUUGCUUUCAACCACACCUGCAAGGUACGGCUGUAAGACUCUGGUGGCGGUUGCGGUGGCAGAACCCUGGAACAGGCUGGACACUACUGGUCUAGUUGCAAAGUGGGAGGAAGCCCCGAUCACGUCCUUCACCACCACCUACCACCCGAAGACAUUCAGCCAGUAAGACACUGCACUAUCACCCACCAUCAACACUCAAAUAAUAAUAAUAAACACCUCGCCACCAACA